rnacentral:rRNA from 1 species
UUUAUGGAGAGUUUGAUCCUGGCUCAGGACGAACGCUGGCGGCGUGCCUAAUACAUGCAAGUCGAGCGGACUUGAUGGAGUGCUUGCACUCCUGAUGGUUAGCGGCGGACGGGUGAGUAACACGUAGGUAACCUGCCUGUAAGACUGGGAUAACAUUCGGAAACGAAUGCUAAUACCGGAUACGCGAGUUGGUCGCAUGGCCGAUUCGGGAAAGACGGAGCAAU